AGUUUCGCCAAGACUUGACGGGACCAUCACAUCUUUUGACCACCCCAAAGUCUCACUCGUUGCGCCAACACAGCAGAGAGUUCGUGAGGAGGGGCCUAUAUCCCUGAUCAGCGGCUUAUCCUUUCGUCCACCACAACACUAACUCACACAGUAACUGAUGACAAUCCUUUCCAACUAAUGCUCACUGAAUUUAUCCUCAGCGCUUCUGUUGACACAGCAUGGCACCAGGGACGGAUCCAGUGAUCCACUAACUUUUCCUAAACAGUAUCGAAAGAUUGAUCUAGAAGCUUUGACAGAGUUUUAGCUCUUUAUGUCUGCCACAUUGACUUUCUGAUGAAUAAAGGAAAAAAUCGUAGGUGAUAAGGUGACGUUUGCAGAGCGGCGUCUAUUGAAUAUCAUACCUUUAUGUUUGAAGCUGAGACCGGCGAUAUUCCUAAGUAAUACGGCAGAUGAAGA